rnacentral:rRNA from 1 species
UGGGGAAUAUUGGACAAUGGGCGAAAGCCUGAUCCAGCCAUGCCGCGUGAGUGACGAAGGCCUUAGGGUUGUAAAACUCUUUCGUCGGGGACGAUAAUGACGGUACCCGAAGAAGAAGCUCCGGCUAACUUCGUGCCAGCAGCCGCGGUAAUACGAAGGGAGCUAGCGUUGUUCGGAAUCACUGGGCGUAAAGCGCACGUAGGCGGAUAGUUAAGUCAGGGGUGAAAUCCUGGGGCUCAACCCCAGAACUGCCUUUGAUACUGGCUGUCUCGAGGUCGAGAGAGGUUGGUGGAAUUCCUAGUGUAGAGGUGAAAUUCGUAGAUAUUAGGAAGAACAACAGUGGCGAAGGCGGCCAACUGGCUCGAUACUGACGCUGAGGUGCGAAAGCGUGGGGAGCAAACAGGAUUAGAUACCCAAGUAGUCCCUGAGCGGGCUGGCAAGGCGCAU